rnacentral:rRNA from 1 species
CCUACGGGUGGCAGCAGUGAGGAAUAUUGGUCAAUGGGCGCGAGCCUGAACCAGCCAAGUCGCGUGAGGGAAUACUGUCCUAUGGAUUGUAAACCUCUUUUGUCGGGGAGCAAAAGACGCCACGCGUGGCGUUUCGAGAUUACCCGAAGAAAAAGCACGGGUUAACUCGGUCCCAGCGGCCGGGUGAAAACGGGGGAUGCGAGCGUUAACCGGAUUUAUGGGGUUUAAGGGGGGAGCAGGCGGUUGGUUAAGGCAGCGUUAAAAGCGCGGGGCUCAACCCCGGCCGGCCGUUGAAACUGGCGGUCUCGAGUUGGAGAGAAGUAUGCGGAAUGCGCGGUGUAGCGGUGAAAUGCAUAGAUAUCGCGCAGAACUCCGAUUGCGAAGGCAGCAUACCGGCUCCACACUGACGCUGAGGCACGAAAGCGUGGGUAUCGAACAGGAUUAGAUACCCCAGUAGUC